rnacentral:lncRNA from 1 species
UUUUGCAUAAAACAUGGCCUAAAAAGUCAUGCUCAUAAUCAAUUUUCAAGAAAAUUCAAGAAAUUUGAUCCUGAAGAAUCAAUCGUGGACAAUCUAUUAUAUGAUGUAGUAGAAGAAAGCGGCAGAAACUUAUCAUUCAUAAACAUGUUACAACAAAAGCUUGCAAUGUACUAAGAUAGCUGCUGGGGGUCUUAAAUAUGUUCUUCAGUGAAAAUAUGUUGCAAAUUAUCACUUACAAGAGUUCUGCAAUUGUUCGACCAUUAGAAUCCAUAAUCUGUAAGAUAAAGCCAGGUCCAUUUACCCACAAACACCCUCAUUGCUGGACAUCUCAUUGGCUACCCAGUGCAAGAUCAUGCCAAGUGUCUACCUCAACUUGUUGGAUCUCCAUAUCUGAGAACAUAUUUGUAUUUAUCAUAGGCAAGCCAAAGGAACUAAUUCAAGAAAACACAAUAGAAAUAAUAUCACUGAAAUUAUGUAGAAGAAAACUAUCUUGAGUCCCUAUCAAAAAAAAAAUAUAUCUUGAGUCUAUAGCUGAGAGUCAAAACAGCUUAUAUGAAAAUCGAACCAACAAAAUGCCAUGUGGAUCAAUGUAAUUUGAUAAUGGGAUUGAAUGGUGAACUAACUUCCAAACUACGGAUCAGAAGAGGCACAGAAAAUCCAAAUGAAAUGAAGUAAAAAGGUUCCACAAAAACUGCCUUUUCUCUCUCCAAUUUAAUACACUUC